UAUGUGUUUUUUUCUCAGUCUAAUUAACUUGCGGGUAUGUGUUCACGUAAUGGUGGAAAGCAGAAGAAGGUGAUCAUGUUGUUGACAGAAGAUAGAGGGCACAUG
rnacentral:pre_miRNA from 1 species